rnacentral:rRNA from 1 species
UACGUAGGGGGCAAGCGUUGUCCGGAAUCAUUGGGCGUAAAGAGCGUGUAGGCGGCCAGAAAAGUCCGCUGUGAAAACUCGAGGCUCAACUUCGAGCUGUCGGUGGAAACUUUCUGGCUAGAGUCCGGAAGAGGAGAAUGGAAUUCCUGGUGUAGCGGUGAAAUGCGCAGAUAUCAGGAAGAACACCCGUGGCGAAGGCGGCUCUCUGGUACGUGACUGACGCUGAGACGCGAAAGCGUGGGGAGCAAACAGG